rnacentral:miRNA from 1 species
UCAUAUGUAGUAUUUUACCUAUGU